CAAGUCGAGGGGCAGCGGGGUGUAGCAAUACAUCGCCGGCGACCGGCGCACGGGUGCGUAACACGUAUGGAAUCUGCCCUUUACUGGGGGAUAGCCCGGAGAAAUCCGGAUUAAUACCCCAUAACAAUCGAGGUGGCAUCACCUUGAUUUGAAAGCUCCGGCGGUAAAGGAUGACCAUGCGCACGAUUAGCUAGUUGGUGAGGUAACGGCUCACCAAGGCUACGAUCGUUAGGGGGCCUGAGAGGGUUAUCCCCCACACUGGUACUGAGACACGGACCAGACUCCUACGGGAGGCAGCAGUGAGGAAUAUUGCGCAAUGGAGGCAACUCUGACGCAGCCAUGCCGCGUGCAGGAAGAAGGCGCUACGCGUUGUAAACUGCUUUUAACCGGGAAGAAACCCCAGGACGUGUCCUGGGUUGACGGUACCGGAGGAAUAAGCACCGGCUAACUUCGUGCCAGCAGCCGCGGUAAUACGAAGGGUGCAAGCGUUAUCCGGAUUCAUUGGGUUUAAAGGGUGCGUAGGCGGAGCGUUAAGUCAGUGGUGAAAUCCUGCAGCUUAACUGUAGACCUGCCAUUGAUACUGGCGCUCUUGAGUGCGCUUGAAGUAGGCGGAAUGUGUCGUGUAGCGGUGAAAUGCUUAGAUAUGACACAGAACACCGAUUGCGAAGGCAGCUUACUAAGGCGAUACUGACGCUGAGGCACGAAAGCGUGGGGAUCGAACAGGAUUAGAUACCCUGGUAGUCCACGCCGUAAACGAUGAUCACUCGUCAUUGGCGAUAUACGGUCAGUGACCUAGCGAAAGCGUUAAGUGAUCCACCUGGGGAGUACGAUCGCAAGAUUGAAACUCAAAGGAAUUGACGG
rnacentral:rRNA from 1 species